UACGAAGGGGGCUAGCGUUGUUCGGAUUUACUGGGCGUAAAGCGCACGUAGGCGGAUCGUUAAGUCGGGGGUGAAAUCCUGGAGCUCAACUCCAGAACUGCCUUUGAUACUGAGGAUCUUGAGUUCGGGAGAGGUGAGUGGAACUGCGAGUGUAGAGGUGAAAUUCGUAGAUAUUCGCAAGAACACCAGUGGCGAAGGCGGCUCACUGGCCCGAUACUGACGCUGAGACGCGAAAGCGUGGGGAGCGAACAGG
rnacentral:rRNA from 1 species